rnacentral:rRNA from 1 species
UACGUAGGGUGCGAGCGUUGUCCGGAAUUACUGGGCGUAAAGAGCUUGUAGGUGGUUUGUCGCGUUGUUCGUGAAAUCUCACGGCUCAACUGUGAGCGUGCGGGCGAUACGGGCAGACUAGAGUACUGCAGGGGAGACUGGAAUUCCUGGUGUAGCGGUGGAAUGCGCAGAUAUCAGGAGGAACACCGGUGGCGAAGGCGGGUCUCUGGGCAGUAACUGACGCUGGAGGAGCG